rnacentral:lncRNA from 1 species
CGAAUAAUCGAACUUUAUUAAUUAAAAAUAAUAUUAUUAUUAAUAUGACUCAUCAGACCAUGGUUUACAAAAUUUAAACUGAGCAGUCAUCCCAGACCCAGACUUCCACUAGUGCUCACACCUUCUUCUUCGGCUUCCACUAGUCAUCACCUCAGAUCUUUGGCUCCUCCUUAGAUCUCCUUCUUUUUUUGCUCAUCACCUUCCUCUGUUGCUCUGGCGAAUGUCAUAGAUCUAUGCAGAUCCUCAUGUCGAUGCCGACGAAACAGUGGCGAUCGAGGAAGUCUUAAUUAUUGGCUCGAAGGCUUUGAAGCGGAAGAUUUUCGACUGGACGAGGAGGUCUUAUUAGCUCUCUCCGGCCUCCGCCUCUCGACUGUCGACUACUCGAUCACACAAAAUUGACUAUAACAGCCAUGGAUCUGAAAGUGAAGCAGAGUAUUCUAUUAUUCCAUGUAAUUUCAGACAGAGAUGGGCAAUACUAGUAAAUAGUAACUAGAGCAACAAGUAGACACAUAGAUAGAUAAAUAGAUGGCAAUAUUUGGGUGGGGUUAAACUCACCAAAAAAUAAUAAUUGGAUGGUUUUUCUUAGGUUACCAAUCUGCAGGAGGUUUCCUUUUCAUUCUGUGUCAAUCCCUCUACUCUGUUCUCCUCUUCACUGCAUGCUAACAAG